CCAGUUUUCCAGGUAAGAACACUUGAAGGAGACCUAGUCUGGAGAAGGCGCAAGUAUAGAGUGAAAGAGGAAAAGUUACCGGAACAUUUCACUUCAGUGUAUUGGAUAAUGGAGUCGUUUCAAACGAGUUCUGGACAAUUGUGGAUGUUUCUGAUGAUUUGAGCUGGGGUCUGUUCCACUAUCAUGGAGCUGCACGAGUGGCGGGGCAGUCAUAUACUGGGGCUGUUCUUGUCAGCCCAGAUGGACAAUAUCCAGCUGAGAAGGAAAAACAAAGGUUGAUAUCUGCAUUAGAUAGCUGUGGUAUCAAAGAGUGGGAGCUAUUCAAUGUUGAUAAUUGUUCAUGUGAAAAUGCACCAUUGGGGAUUCCAGAUGGCUCAAGUCUGCAUUCUAAAAUUCAAGUGCAUGGACAGACACAUUCUUCAGUCUAGGAACCUGCAUUUUUUUGUUAAAAAUGAAUGUGUUAUGUAUAGUUUAUUGAUAUGUUGUAAAAUUAUAAUGUUCUCAAUGUCAAGUGCUGCCAUUUACAUAAAUUUGAGG
rnacentral:misc_RNA from 1 species